GAUGAACGCUGACAGAAUGCUUAACACAUGCAAGUCGAUGGGGAAGUGGUGCUUGCACCAUGGCAACCAUGGCGGACGGGUGGGUAACGCGUAAGGGACUUACCUGCAGGACUGGGAUAACAGGGGGAAACUCCUGACAAGACCGGAUAAUGUCAUGGAGCUGCAUGGCUUUAUGAUGAAAGGAGACGCCUGCGGAGAGCCUUGCGUCCUAUUAGCUAGUUGGUGAGGUAAUGGCUCACCAAGGCGAAGAUAGGUAGCCGGCCUGAGAGGGUGGACGGCCACAAGGGGACUGAGAUACGGCCCUUACUCCUACGGGAGGCAGCAGUGGGGAAUAUUGGACAAUGGGGGCAACCCUGAUCCAGCAAUUCUGUGUGCACGAAGAAGGUUUUCGGAUUGUAAAGUGCUUUCAGCAGGGAAGAAGUAAGUGACGGUACCUGCAGAAGAAGCGGCGGCUAAAUACGUG
rnacentral:rRNA from 1 species